GAAGAAAAAUUUUACUGAAAGUUAGGUUUGGUUAGAUUAGAGUGGAUGUCCUGGGGUGGGACACACUUGGA